rnacentral:lncRNA from 1 species
UAAAAUAUGAAGUUUGUUUAUUUUUUUAAUUAAAUUUGGAUAUAUUGUUAGUUCAAUUAGGAUUGAUUUGUGGCUUGAUCGGUAAUAUUUCAGGUGAAGAAUGAUAUUCCAUUAUGUCCAAAAAUUUGCAUAUGCAAAAAAUUUAAAAUUAUUUAAUUAUCUUUUAAGAGAUAAAAUUUAUUUGUAAAAUAGGUUUAAAAUUAAUUAACACCCCUUG